UUGUAUAGAGUAUUUAAAUAAACAUGACAGAAACCAUUUUUCAACCCCAGUCCUUAAAAAGUUGGGACGCUGUAUAAAAUGUGAAAAAACAACAACAAAAAAAACCCCACAGUAAUGUGUCUCAUCUUUGUGCAUUAUGGGACUAAAGUUGUUUGAUUGAAAACCUGCAGGUCCCUCUCCUGUGGUCCCCCCUGGCCCUCUCGCUCAAAGAUCUGUGAAAGAGUCGUGGGCUCAGUGGUCCCUGAGUAGGGGGGUGGAGUCCCUCCCAGAAUCCAUCACAGAGUAUCUCCAGCAGAGCAGCAGAGUGCAGCUGCACAGAGAGGCAGCUGUUCGACACAUCAGCCCUUCAGCCUCGGGUUGGGAGAUCAGUCUGAAGGAUGGAGUUGUAUCUGCUGACCACAUCAUCUCUGCGCUGCCUGCCAAAGCGCUCGCCUCUGUCCUGCCCUCCUCCUAUCAGCCUCUCAUCCAGCUGCUGCAAGAGAUCUCCACGGUAACAGUCGCUGUGGUAAAUCUGGAGUAUGAGGGCUCCAUCCUGCCUGUGACGGUGAGGAGUGCAGUCGAACACACACACUAAAUACUUUAGUUUAGAACUGUGAAUGGAGCUCUGCAGAGGUCAUCAGAUGACUGGAUUUGAGAGCAAAAUACCUAAACAGCAGAUUGGUGUAAGAACACAAUGACUCCAUUCAGGGGCAUCGCCAGGAAUUCUGGGCCCCAUGAAAACAUAUCUCACUGGGCCCCAUCACCACGGCCCAUGACAACCCUGCACAAUUGUUAUAACCAGUCUGGCAAAUACUCAAAUGAACUGCCCUCACU